GGAGGGGAUUCACCGCUCCUCGCCUCCGGAACCGAUCUCCUCAUGCCACCCUUGUUCUCGUCACCCGAUUUGGCAUUAAUUCCUUCCCCCUUCGCAGUGCGAUUUUCUCGCUUCUUGCCUCCCUUUAUACCCCGUCUCACCCACCCGUUCCUAUCCGCCACAGGUGAAGUAUGUCCGAGCAGUGAGAGAGAGCGAGGAGAGAGAGGAAGAGAUUCGAGGCCCUCAGGAAUCCUUCGGUGGUCGACCCAGUUUUCUCUUUCUUCUGAUAUCCCGAUGAAAGCAGUACUAUUUGCUAGUGCUUGUGAGACUCCAUGGGCUGGUUUGCUAUUAACAGGAUUACUGAAUCUGCUGAUUUCAAGGGGAAGAUGGAGGGAGGUCUCUAAAUUCCUGUGAUAUACUAGGGAUUUUCCUUUUUUUUGUUGCUUUCUUGCCAAGCCAUCUAUCAAUGGCGUUACCCAUUGAACCCUGUGGUUCUGCUUUGAAGCGCAAGCAAGCAGAAAGUUCUGGAUUAAGAGAUGGUAAGACUCCCCGUGUCAGUGUAGAACAUGGGCCCUCCUCCCGUUCUAGUGUCUGCAACUGCCACUGCUGCCGUGUGCAGCCCAACCUUGCUGAGACUUGCUUCAACUAUCUCAACAGUGGCUUGCCACGCCGCAUCAUGUUCUACAACUGCGGCGACUGGUCAGACUUUCCAGAACCAGUGAAACAGUCUCUUAUAGAAGGGUUCAAGGAUGAUAAGUCAUCUGUUAUGGUCAUGGUUAAUGGCCAGCAUCUUCUUGUUGAUUUUGUGUCAAUGGUCCUGGUCAACUUGAGAACUAGGAAACAGUGUUCUGUGGCAUGGAUUGAUGAUUCUGACAAAUGCUUCUUUCCUUCCCUUUUUUUUGAUGAUGUGGCUGAAGAGUUCUCUGAGUUGGGUUCAGGCAUCAUGAACAGCAGUUUCCAGAGACCAGUGCUGGUGAGGGCAUUAUGUCCUCCAGCUGAGGUGGUAAAGCGUGUUGUUAUGGAAAAUGCAACUUCAGUUUCACAGCCUUUAACUGCAGAGUCAUUACGCUCAAAGAUUGAAAAUGUGGAAAGGGACAGCGAAAGCUUUCUUUUUGUACAAAACCUCUUUCUCUUAGGAAUGGGUCCUUUUGCUACGCCCCAAAACAUAUUGCAGAUCCAUCGCUAUGCCCCAAAGGAUCUUCCUUCACAGAUUAGAUGUGAGGCCUUUGAGAGACAGAUACGGUCCACUAGAGCACAGCGAGGGGAUGCAAAUGUACGUUAUGGAUGGUUUGGUUCAAAGAAGAUAGACAUAGCUGGAAUUCUGAUUCAUGGUUUUGGCAUGGUGGGGAAGCCUACUGAGGGAGUUUUGGGCACUGGUGUUUAUCUCACACCAGAUAACCGUGCUUUUGCCAGUGUUAAUCUUUGUGAUGUUGACGAAAAAGGUGUACAAUGCAUGCUGUUAUGCCGAGCAAUCUUGGGAAAUAUGGAACAAGUCCGGCCUGGGUCCAGACAGUGCUUUCCCAGUAGUGGGAAUAGCGAUUCGGGUGUAGAUGAUUGUUUGAGUCCAACAUGUCAUGUCGUGUGGUCUAGCCACUUGGGCAAUUAUAUUCAUCCAGAAUAUGUUGUUAGUUUCAAGCUGUCCUCACACAUCCGAGAGUACUUAUUUGGACUGAAGGAUGUACGGUUCCAUGUAGGAGCAACAAAAGUUGUACAAGACUUUUCCUCUCUUCAUCCUGUAAGAUGUGAGCCAACAAGAGGGCCAACUUCACCAUGGAUGCCAUUUACAGUGCUGUUUGCCGAAAUACAAAAUCAUGUGUCUCCAUUAGCAAAGGAGUUACUGCUUCGCCAUUACGAAGAGUUGAAGAAUAAAGCAAUAACUCGAGAAGAGUUAGUGAAGAAGAUGAAAGCAAUUGUUGGAGAACAGCUGCUGAUGAGUACACUGACAAGACUUCAACGCAGUCCAUCCUCAUGGUAUAAUAACUCUACUGCAAAAGAGAAGCCUAUUGAUCCUGAUGAACCAACAUCAGAGGCUAAUGGCUCUGCUACCAUGACAAUGGAGCCAAAUGAAUCCUGUGCACUUAACAUGGUAGCUAUUGAUGGUGCUGCAUCAAACAUGGAACCAAUUGACCGUGUCAACCUAUACAUGGAGCCUCAUUACUCCACUGCACCAGACAUGGCGCCUACUGACUUUGCUGCAGUGAGCAUGGAAGCUAAUCAUUUUGCUGCAAACAUGGCACCUAACAGCUUUGCUGAACCGAACAUGGAAAGUACCAACUUUUCUGCACCUAAAAUGGAGCCUGGUGAUUCUACUGCAUCAGGCACGGCACCUCCUGUCUCUGCUCCACUGCAGAUAGUGGGUAAUGACUCUGAUUCACCUAAUAAGAUGGAGACUGACUCUGCUGCAGAAAAGAUGGUGGCCACUGACUCUGCUGCUCCAAAGAUGGUGGCUACUGACUUUGCUGCAUCGAAGAUGAUACUUACAGGCUCUGCUGCACUGAAGAUGGUGCCUAAUGACUUCGCUUUACUGAAAAUGGUGCCUAAUGAAUCUGCUUCACCAGAGAUAGGGCCAAAUAACAGUGAUGCACCAAGGAUUGCACUUCCUGAAUCUGCUGCAAUGCCAAAUGAUGCUGCUAUGCCAUGUAUGACACCUAAUAAUUCUGCUGCAACAAUAAUGGAGCCUGCUGAAGUUGUUACAGCAUGUUUGGAACCUGAAGACUCUGCUCUACCAAGGAUGGGACCUAAUGAUACUAAAACUCGAUCCAUUGUACAAACAAGCGAAAGCUAGUGGACAGACUCCAGCUCUAAGCCAGGUUAAACCAUCAGAUGCUGGGGGACCCCUGGACACUUGGGGCACUUGUCCCACGCAUCUAGGACAUUGAAGUUGCAUCUAUCUUACAGUGCCUUCAUAUAAUCUAUUGCUCUUUUGCCACUCAAGGUUUGCCGUCUCGGUACAGGACUCCGUAUUGGUACCAUUCUAUUACAAUAUCGAUGCGUGGUUUGGUACAGAACGAGAUAGCGGACUGAGUGUUGGUAUGGUAGGAGACACUGUACCGAUUCGGUAUUAGUAUGGCACUGUACGCCCCAUACUGGGCGGUAUAGAAAACUAUGUUGCUACUCGUUAAAUUUUGCUUGAUUAAGAUAACUUGUUCAAUCAUCACUCAUAUCUACACAACAUCAAUAUGGCUCACAGGUUCCUGUUUUUUUAGUUGGUUUUUAUGUACUGCAUUGAUGAAAUAACUGGUAAUGUCAGAUUAUGAUAUUACAUGGUGCUUUGACUUUCAUCCAAAUAAGAAAGAUAUGCCAGCAAAGGGAAGCCAUGAAUCUCUAAAAGUCUCAGCAAAAUUCAGCAUAUUUCUAGCUCAAGUCAGAAACUUGUGGCACCACCAAGGAACGAAUAUGGACUGCUGUUUGUGCAACCCAACUUUACAUAUGACUUCCAAGUUAAUGAAACAACCAUAAAUCAGCAAAAUGGAGUCUGAUGUACAACAAAAGAACAAAAAGCUAAUAAUGAGCAAUAGAUCCAGAAACCUAUCAGAAUUUGGACUGCUGUCUGCAAAAGAAUUCUAAUACUCUAAACUUUAGAAUACAAAUUGUUACAUAGAUACUGAGUUGGGUCUUUCUCUUAUGUACAUAUCCCUAUAGAGAAUUAUCGUGCUUAAAUUUUUCGUUGAAUAUUUUGAAUGGAAAUAGGUUUUAUGAUAUAGUGCAACCAGACUUCUGUUGCCACAAGACAGCUGAAAUAUAUCAGAAAGAAAAUCUUAACCUGGACUUACUGAAAUUUUUGGUGUUCUGGAUAUAAACACUAUGCAUUGAGACCUAACCACAUCUAAUGAGAUCACACCUGCCCCGGUUGAUUCAGCCGAGGGUGCAAAGGACUGCUGCUUGUUGACGAACUUUAGCUGGUAUCAAUUUUAGAUUUUUUUUUGACCUAAUUGUAGCACCAAUUACUGCCAACAGAUUGCUGUAGUUGCCUUGAGGUUGUUGCAUAAUGGUGUCAAAGUAGUAGUAUAUGAAGCAAUGUGAAUUAAAGAGGCAAUUGGAUCUGUUUAACGUCUGAGAUUUUAUCCCCUUUUGUCUGCUUUGAACAUCUUUAGCUCAAUUACACUGAAAGAGGAAGGGGAGGAGCUUAAACAGGAGAGAGAUGAGAGAAAAGGGAGCUGGUAGAGAGUAGGAUAAGCAUGUGAGGGGAUGAAAAGGCCAUCAUGAUCCUAGUUUUCUUUCUUAUUCAAGUAAUACUCAAUAUUCUUCAUAAACAGCUACUCUUUCCUCCUUUAAAUAGGUUCAUGCAGCCGCUUGAUAAACUCCAAUGAUGACUUUUUGUAUAAGAAAUAUGCUAAACAGCACGAGUUAAAUGCCUUUUGCUGGUGGCAUGCCAGCAUAGGACUAGCUCGGUUUGUGAUUUAUGCCAUGCCAGUGCUUGGCACGCCUGGCAUAUGCUAGAGUUGCAACAUCCAAGUAUUGGCAUGCAAAUGAUAACAUGCCAGUGUGUUGCACGCAGCAUCUCAUGCCUAUGCCAACUGGCACUCAAAUUCUAUGCUAAACAUAAGUAGCCAACUAAGAUCUAUACUUAAAGUGGAAAGUUAAGCACUUGUUAUUUUUCCUGUUUGAUUCCUUUAUUGCUUUUUAAAAUUAUGAUAUGAUGACUCCUUUUUGAUUCUUUAAAAGGAUAAUAUCCAAGAUGAUUUUAUUGCAUAAACUAGACAUUUUUGGGAGUUUAUGGCAUCUGAACUAAAUCAGCUAAAAGAGCUGAUACUUCCUAAUGCCCAAAAGUCUCCUAACAUGACUUCUAAUAAAAUCAGAAUACAUGGGGUUCAAUUAAGCUGUUCGAAGAUGAUUUGGAGAAGGAAAUGUACUAUAACUGAAGUGAACAAAGAUGAAUUGGAGAAGGAAACAUGGGGUUCAAUUAAGCUGUUCAAAGCCUUAGUUGCUUUCCUUGACCAACAAGGCUAGCUAAGGGCUUCAUGGUUUUGGUUUGGUUUUUUUCCCCUUGACCAGCAAUGGCCAGACAAGGCUCUAUUAGUAUUGGGUUUGGUUCUUGGCUAUUUUUGGCCUUGCCAAUUUGCUUUCACUGCAUGCAGCCACUGCACACGGGAUUGUCCUCAAUUUUGUUUGGGUGACUGGGUUGGCUUCCAACGUGGAUAUAGACCCAAUAUGUGCCUUCACCAUGAUUAGGUGCAAUCAUCCUGGCUAAGCCCAAUUCAAAACCGGCAUUCAUAUGGAUACUAUAACUGGACGUUGGCUGUAGAAGCCAGUAUUACCGGAUUAUAUGAUAUAUCCAGUUUACUUCUAGCCUACUUAACCAUUUCUCUCUUAAUUCAAGUUUGGAUCUUGCCUGAAGUUUGAGAUCUCAAUAUCUAUCAUGAAUCAGUGAGUCAAAUAGGGGAAAACAGGUUUCAAUGCUUUCUUUUUCAAAAUUGUAAAUGUGAUUAUUUUGAAAGAGAAUUAUUUAUCUUCUAAGUAAGACACAACUGCAUGCAUCUACACACAAGUCAAUGCAAGAUUCAACUUUUUCUCCUUUUUUUUUUGGGUGAGGGGUUGAGAAAAGAAUGCCCCUAAUUUCUCCAGCCAAGAAUGUGGAAAUUGUGCAAGGAAGAAUCCCUAGUUCAGUUUUGGUCUGUUCUUAGCAAGUGACAAUGUCUAUAUCCCCCAAUCAUGUCAUUUUUUUGAAUGAAAAACUAAUUAAUAACCUCAUUUCGGAAGACCAAUAUUACAAAUCUCCCAAAUAAUUGUUCUAAACCUUUAAUCUUCUGUAUCAUUCAUUUUGUGUCACAUUAGGUGAUAAUUUACAUUUUCUCAACAAUCUGAAUAAAUUUAGCCCCACAAACAAUAUUGGCAUGAUCUUUUGUAUCCUUCUUUUCGACUUAUUUGUUCAAAGAACUUUGAGUUGCUUUAAGAUGAAAGGCAUCUGGAUCUACAUUCUUCUAGAGCUAAUCAAUGUGUCACAACUGGCAAAAGUGUAAGUACCAAUAUGCAUAAACAAACAAGUUUGUCAACUGGUGCAGGUCAUGCAGAUGAAAUGACAAUAAUGUAUGACAAUCCUGCUUGACCUACUGUGCCUUGCCCCUCCAUAAGCAUUGGUGUUGGCUGCAAUCAGAUAUUUCAAAUGAAAUAUACAACCGGCAUUUUUCUAUAUAUGAAAAACUUAUCUAAUUGCUACAUAGAUUGAGAAUGUAUGGUUUACUAUUCUAAUUCCUUUGGUCCAGUGUCCAAUGAGCAAUCCGAGUAACACUGGACUCACACUUGCUCUUGUAGUGAUUUAAUAUUGACCUCUCCUUCAAUUUAAUAAUGAAGAAAAAGAGGCCUUUCUCCAUGGUAGGCAAGGUUUUAAAUCCCACGGCACGGGGCUGUUUCAAUUUUUUUAUGGAACGGGACGCACCGCCAUCUCGCCUUGUCUCAAAAUUUGGGACAAAGGAUGUUCUAAGAUGUCCCGAUUAGGAUGCUGGGAUUCUAGUGGGACAGUCUUGUCCUGACAUAUAAGAUGGUAUCCUAUCCCGAUGUCUCGCCGGACGUCCCGUUGGGACCUGAAUCCUUGAUGGUAGAGUAAAAAAUGAAGUCUUUAGGAAUAAGGAUGUGGUUUCUAUCAACAUGAUCGAUCUACUGACGUUUGUUUGCUGAAAAGAGCUUUAGUGGUUUUAAACAUGAUCUUAGACACUGUUUGGAUGAAUCUUCAAUGCUUUUAAAUAGCAUGUAUCCAAGAAUCCAAGUUGAUGACUAUUGUUUUUGUGUUUUUGCUUGAAAUCUUACCAUAUUAUUUAUUUAUGUUGUAUGUCAUCAAAUUUGAAAUGAAUGGUUAAAUAUCCCAUCAUAAGUGAAACUUAAUCAAAGAAUCAAUGUUUUUGAGAAGACAUCAAAUAAUUAAUGUAAAACUCAAUUUUUCUCAGUGUAACUUUUUGGGUGUUUUUAUUAUGUUCUUUAUCAAUCUAAAUAUAUUGAUGUAACUUAAUAAGUUUGAACUUCAUAUCCAUGCCUAUUUCACUAGAUUUAGUUAUUUGAGCAUUUGCUUUUAUGAAGUGGAUCUUUCUGGGAUCCUGCAGUAUCUAAAGUGUGCUUGGUGGAUUACAGUAUCUAUCCUUUACUAGAUUGGACAUAUGUUCUGCUUUAAAUAAGAUACAAUAUUCAUCAGUUAUGAUGUAAAUAAGAUGCAUCAUUCUUCUUCUGCCUUAGGUAUCUCAUCAUCAAGCAGUAGAAUGCAUCCUUUGCUAUCUCAACUGGAACAUGUCUUGGAGUCCCAUUUAAAGAUUUUAUGUUUGGCGGAAAUUUGAUUUUAGAUCAUCAUUUUGGGCCAAAUUGAAUUUUUUUUGGGUUAGUGGUUUUGGCAAACGGCAGUGGAGGUCGACUGCUAAUUUUAUUUUUUUAGUGAUUAGAGAUAUUUAUGGUUAUUUAUUCAUUUCUAUGUUUAUUUUGGUUUAAUUUUUUGGAUUAUUUCUUUGUUUCAUUUAGUCAAGGCUCAAGACUAAGGAGCUUACUCAUGGGUUAUAAUUUUUCAAUUUUUGAGAAGAGUUUUCUUAGCAUUAUUCUCAAAUGUUGCAAGUUUUGAAUUAGAAUCAUUUGAGUGUCUGACUUCAAGAAGCUUAAGAAAAUUCAAAAGUUUGAUAUAUGUUCAGGCACUCUCAGAUAUUUUACAAGUAAUUGAGAAUAUGUUUUUGUAGCUGGCCCACCAAAAAUUAGCUUAAUGAGUUUUGAGCUUGGCUUUGUUGGGUUUAAACUCAAAUGUCUGAAGAAUUUUGAUUAUUAUGCAUUAAAAUGGUAGAUCUUGUUGUAUGAUGAUGCGAAACAUAAUUUUUAAGUUUUUUUUUUCUUCCAAUGUUUGAUAAUUUUGAUAUUUUUAACUUGGAACUGCUUAAAACAUGCGAUGAACAGCUGCAAAGAGUACAAUUUGCUCUUUGCAUGAUCCAGUGCUGUGUCACUCUUAAAUUUAUACCUCCACUUCUCAUUUACUCUUGACCCUUAAUUUUCUACAAAUUACAUGUUUCAAGAUUUUUUUUUGUUAUAUUUGUAUAUAAUCUGAGUCAAUAUAAAACACUGAAUUGAUAUGUUUUUAGUUUGAAUGGUCCAAUUGGUGAUAUGGCCUUCAGUUCAAUCUGAUGUGGAUUCUGAAUAAUCAAAAAAUCGUACUUCAUCAUGAUGAGGCUUGUUUCUGGCUCUCAUGUAGUUUCAUCCACCUUUUCGUUAUUGUUGUCUUGUACAGACUGUAUGGUUUUGCAUAGGUUGUUGGUGAGGUACUGAGGAAAUUAUUUUGUCUCCCUUGUUAUCAGCAAGCAUGUUAAUGCAAUUUUUAUGCACCACUAUCAGUCAUUCCAGAUUCUUCUGCUUUGUGUUAUUGGAGAUGACCAGGCACAACUUACUUCACCUCUACAUUAGUUAUAGUCUUGUGAUUUUAGGUGUGCAUUUAUGUAAUGAUUUCUGUGUUCCUUGUUGCUUGCAUUGAGCUCAUCAAGCCUAUUCUGGAUGCGUGGAUAUCUUAAUCUUAUGUUUCGCUCAAUUAUUUGGUAUUUCUUGAAACAAUAUCAACUGAUCUUUGCUGUUGCCUUGGUCACUGAGUUGCCAUUUUUUCAUUUCAUAGUGAUUUAUGUGGCAUCUCGUGCUCAUCUGGCUUAUCUCUGGUUUAGGCAUUGUUUGAUGCAAAGUGCAACGGCAAUAUUACUAACUCAUAUCUUAGUCUUCCCCACUUUUUUUUUCUUUUUUGUGUGUGCGCGUGAUACAUGUGUAUGUGAAAAGAUUAUAACUUAUUCCUCUCUUACACAGUCUAGAAGUAAAAUAUCAUGUGAUGUCAAUGUUUAUCAUUUUUUUUUUGAACUCGUCAUUUUACUUAGAAUAGGAAGUACUUUCUUCACUUUCUUUUCAUCUUUGUGAUUUUUGGAGUGCCAUCCAAAGUGCUGCAACCUGAUCUCAAAUAAUGUCAACUGUGGAAGAAUGAGGUUUUUGACUUUUUGCAGUCUUUUGAGGCACUCUGGAAUUUGGAUAUCAUGGACAAAAUAGUGGCAUUUCAUGCUCUGACCCUACCGACAUCAUGUUUAUACCAUCAUUGGUUUGAACUGAUUUUGAGCUAGCAACAUUUAGUAGAUUAUUAUUGAAAGUUGAGUCAGAUUAAGUUCUGUUGCGCUUCUUCAAAGAAGUCUGAAAAACUUGCAUUAUAAUGAGUCAUCGGUCAAGCUGUCCAUCAAGAUGCUUGAUACCAACACAAAUAAUUGAUGUUGUUAUCAAGCAGAUAUAGGUCAAUUGCAAUUUGAUUCUUAUAUAGGGACGAACAUUUGGAGUUUAAAGUUUGCUUGACCAUUAACACCGUGAUCUUCUUACCCUUCAACUAUGAGAUCCCCUCCUUAUAAAGUCUAUAUCUCCAUUUCCUUUGUUUCUUUAGUUUUAAUUCUAAGCCUCGUUUGAAGAUCUUGAUUUUAGGUGAAUCACUCCUGAAGUGCUGAUUUUAACAAACAUUUGCCUUAGCAUCUUUAUUUAUUCUAAGCUUAUCUUAUGCAUUUAUAUUUGUUUUAUUCUAACAACAAAUAUAUGGAUCACUAUUCUUUGAUUUCCAAUUUGUUUUUUGAUGAUUGUAUAAUGCGUUGUCAUUUAUUUGCUAUAUCCAUCCUGCUUUCAACAUGUUGUAGACAUCCCUUUCUUUGUCUCCAUCCAAGGUAGCAGAAACUUUUCUGCAUAUCACUUGCUCGCAAUUUCAACUAUGCUCCAACUUCUCAGUCCACCAUACUCCCCAUAAAGUUGUAUCAUGCCCCCUAUUUUGAAUUUUGGCUAAAUUUAAAAACUUUUGGACUGUUUCUAAUGUUCCCACUUAAGUUUCAUCCUAUCUCAAGGCACAUAUUUGCAAAUUUGCAUUUGCAAAUAACAUACCUAAUCACCUCUACUUGGUGCAUAUUUGAAACAAGUGAAUAAUUGUUUCUCACCGGCGGCAUCAAUGAUUCGAAUCUGAAAGGUGCUCCUGAAAGAAGAAAGCUAUAAAAGUACAUGGCCUCUUCCAUGCAAAGUGUGCUUAUGUAUUAAGGUAGUUGGUCUGCAUUAUGGCAUUAUAUAUUUGUUGAUUGAAAUUUGUAACAUUGAAAGUGAAAUUGUAUAAUUUCUUGCUCAAAUAUUUAAGAAAAAAAAAUAAAGCUAGUAUGAAUGUUAAUAUAAAUUGCUCUGGUUGAUAAGCUAUUUUAUUCAGAUGAAAUGUUUGAGUCAAGUUGAUCCAUCAUAUAGUGAGUGGAAUCAACAUAUUAUGAUCUGUUGAUGAGUCGAACUGUUUAGAUUUGCUUUCUAAGCUUCAUUUCUUUAUUGCUUCAGCUUGAGAGAAACUAUUGAAGAUUAUGUAGUCAAAUUAUUAUAUUUCAAGUUUUCAACACUGCUGUUGACUGCCUCCUUCAAGGCACUGUAUGCACUUGCACCAUGUUUAAAAACCAUUCAAUUUAGGAUUAUUUUUAAGAAGAAAUUAAUGUUAAGAAAGCAAUUUGUGAACUUUGUUACUAAUCUGUUGCCUUUUUUUGUUGCAUUUCAUUAUAUAUAAUAAGGUGCACGCAUAUUACAUAUUAAAAUGUGAAGGGUAACAUGUUUCAAAAUUUUGUAUAUGGAUAAAGAAGUUUAUGAGCUUCUUGAGAAAUAGAAAUCCAGAGUGAUAGGUUGAUAUAUGUUUGUUACCUCAAACAGGACUAUCUUUUCUAGUGGAAGCCAAAGGCAAAAUAAAAUAUAAAAUCAGAAAACAAGAUAAGGGUAAUAAACUGCAAGAGAUUGAACCUAAUUGAAUUAAUUGAAUUGACAAACUAUUUGGCAUACAAGUAAACAGUUCGAGAUUCACUAGUCUAUUUACAAGUUUUAGGGCAGGUUAGACCUUUCCAUCAGGCACAAGUUCCUAGUCAUAAGGUACAUGGGUUUUGUUUAGGAUGAAGCUUGAUAUGGCAGUUGCUCUGUGGCCCUGAAAGUAUGUGCAAGAGAGAUUGUCUUCGUUCCAGACUUUCCUUUUAUACCUAAUUCACUGCAGUAACCAUUACUUAAGCAGUUGCUCUCAGGUAAUACUUGCAAUGGUGAAUUAGUUAGAAGAGCUAACCUCCUUGAAGUUCAACUUGUGCCCCAUGCCUUCUUUGCGGAUAACCAUUCUUCUAAAAUGAGCAACUUUAAGAAGUACAUGACAUCCAGUAGUUGACCUAGAAGUUUAUGGUGAUAUGAUCACAAUUAUCAUUUGACAUGUGGCCUUAUUUCUUUUUGUUCUAAUGGUAAGGGGGAACAUAUGCCCCCCUCUUUGGAUAUUUAUAUUGUUGAACUUUUCAUAGUCUAAAACCACUAUAGUCAUUGGAAUUAUUUAAUUGCAACAGUUAGCCAACGCUGCCAUUUUUCCUUCCAAAUAAUCUUUUUCUUGUUGGGUUUCAGUAGGAUAUUUUGAAAAUAUUCAUAACAAUAGUUCUAAUGUUGUUAGAAUUCUGCUUUAUGUACACUUCUUUUUUUGCCUUUACCCUUAUCUUCAUCUUCAAUGUGUCUUGCUCAUCCUCAAUCUAAAAUCCUAGAUUUCUGGAGCUUGAUUUCUAUUGUCUCUAGUCUUCUCUCAAUCUUCCAUUAGAUAUAAACAUGGUCCUUGCUGUAACAAUGUUGAAGUAAGAUGAACUCAUGCAAUCCCUUGACUUCAGCCUUGUGGUCUUUGCCUUAGAAUGUUUAUCCCAUAAUUGGCCUAGGCAACAUUUGCAUUCUUGGAGGUGAAUCACUCUAGGCACAGAUAGAUUCUCUUGAGUGGACUGGCCAAGACCAAAAGCUUUCUACUUUGCCUCAUUGUUCUGGUGACUAGGAAGAAUAGAUCAAGUGAAUGGGGGCUAACAGUGAAGCUCGGUAAAAUGCUAGAUUGUUUGAAUCCAUUCAACUUUCAAGGUACAAGAUCCCAAUUCCUUUUCUUUUUCAAAUUCUUCUUAGUUGAUCAUAUUCAAUAGUCAACCAGCCAAACCAAGAGAUUGAGGAAGAAAGAAAGGUAUGGUCAAUGUUGAGAAAUAUUGGUCCUAUCAUUAAUUUAUUAGGUAGCUUAUAUACAGAACUAAAUUUUCAUGCCUAUGCACAAUCUGCCAUUGCUCUUCUUGGGGUUGCCAUCAGGGAGUAGCCUUAAGAACUGACACUUAUGGCUUGAGAUGACCUUGAUAGCAAUAGGAAAAGUUGAUUUUGUGUUAAGUCGUUAACCUUCAGUCUUUAAUGAUGAUUCACCUCCAUCAAGAUUAAUGCCUGGCCCUCAGUUGUCCAAGGGAACAACCAUCUUGAAUAGAGAAUCCGACAUCUAAGUCUAGAACAUUGGUAGAAAUAUUUGCAAUUGUUGAAAGGAAAAGUUCCAAAGGAAUUCCAUUCAUUAAUGAGAUCCCAUCUUUUAAAAUAGAUAAUAAACAAGUACAUAAGGAAAGAAGUACAAAUUUGGAAGGCAAGUACAUACCAUGUUUCGAGAUAUGCUAAGCUUAGAGACAUACUAAAUAUGUCCUUCCUAUAUAAGGACUUAUUAAAUAAGCAUAAUUCUAACACCCUCUCAAGUUGGAGCAUAUAUAUCAAACAUGCUCAGCUUGUUACACAGAGAGUUGAAUAUAUCAAAAGAUAGAGAUUUAGUCAAAAUGUCAACUAACUAUUUGGAUGAUAGAGUGAAUAGUGUUAUGAUGGUCUUGUUUAUCAUAGCAUCUCUUUGAGGGUGUCCUAUAUUUGUUUAGCCGUCUUCAGGAACAUGACACCAGCACUAACUUUUUCCUCUGUGCUAUUCAACAACCAUGACAUAACACAAUAGUCAUUAGCCAGCCAGUUGUCAUAGGAUCUUUGGAAUUUGGAGGAUCUUCAGUCAGGUGUUGCGCCUUUCAUGGACACCAAUAAAUAGUUUGAAUGAUUGGAUCCAGAAAAAGUAGUGCCAUUGAGCUUUACCGUAGUCACUGUUAAAUUCUUUAUCACAGUGUCAGAACUGGAGGUUAGAAGUAUCGAAAGUUGUUUGUUGUCAUAAUUUAAGGACGCCAUAGUAGCCAGAGAGGAGGAUAGAAACAAUCAAAUGACCAGAUAGUAAAAGAGGAAAGGAAGGAUAUCUUCACAUGGUAGCCAGAGAAAUCAUGAGCAAUGUACUGCUUCUGUGAUUAGUAGAUAGUCAGCAAGACAGCCAAAGGACUUUUGCAUGGCAUAGAAAGGAACCUAUGUUGAUUUGUCUAAGAACAGAUUGCUCCUCGGGAUGCAUAGAGGGUCUCUUAGCCAAUCUUGUAGAAUCACAAGCAGAUUUCUGCAAACAGUGAACAGAAAUAUUAAUUAGACCUCCAAGAUGGCAAAUGAUGGAUUGCUAUAGUAUGAAUAUAUUGAUUUCAAGACUGCAGUAGUAAAGAUCCAGCAAGGACAAAAAUCUGAAGUCCUAGGUGGCGGCUAGGAUUCUAGCAAGAACCAAAGGCAACUGUCGCCAGAGAUCUCUAACGAUGGAGGAAGAGGGUGAUGAAGAAGGCUGACGAGGACAUGGGAAGUGACGGCGGCGGUGGUUUAAAAAGCUUUGAGAAGGGAGGAGACAGGUAAGAUUUUUGAGAAGGGAGUUGGAACCUUGGUGCGGCUAGGGCUUUGAAGGUUGCCGGAGAAGAGGAGGGGUUGUUGCGGCAAGGGUUGCUGUGGCCUGUUGUGGAGGAAGGAGGGGCGGCAGAGGGCUAGGGUUGUGGAGAGGGUGCCGCAACCGCUCUGAUAUCAUGUUGAAAGGAAAAGCUCAAAAGGAAUUUCAUUCAUUAAUAAGAUCCUAUCUUUUUAAAUAGAUGAGAAACAAGUAUAUAAGAAAAGAAGUACAUAUUUAGAAAGUAAGUACAUACAAUGUUUAGAGAUAUACUAAGUUUAGAGACAUACUAAAUAUGUCCUUUCUAUGUAAGGACUUAUUAAAUAAACAUAAUUCUAACAGCAACCUUAGCACCUACAUCUCUUGCCUUACAACUUUGCACCUUAGCUGCCUAAAUGAAUCUUAAAGUAGCUUGACCAAUUGGUAAUUCCCACAAAACAUAAAGAAGCAAUGAGGAAGAAGCAUCAUUUUUCAAGGUUGUCAAAAAUUUCUCCUUUAGCUGUUCAUCUAGACAUCAAUGAGAUGACUGUUCAGCUUCUAUCACCAAGAAUUUAGGAAAAAGUGGUAAGUUUGUCUUCCCCUUCCAAGUUUUCUUCUUUGCCAUAGAAAUGUUCCUAGAUUGAUUUCACUUUCAUCAUUUUGUGUUCCUAUCAGCUUUUCAUUUUUCCUAUUUUAUUCUACAGUAAUUUUCUUUGUUUUAAACAUAUGUAUAGGCAUUGAUGUCUUUCUGAUUUGUGGAUCAAUCAAUCGUGGUCCCUUUUGCAUAAGUUGGGGCAGAAGCUUCUCUAGUCCAAUCAAUAAGCCAUUACUUGAACCAAUUCAUACUGAGAAGACUAUAGCUCAAAACAUUAAAGACCCCAUCCACAUGCUUGUGGUGACAGAUCAAGCGAUCAUGGAAUAGAUGAAGGCACAAAAUAUCGGGCAUUCUCCAGCUAACCAAAGUAUCAAACUAUUUUUCGUUGAGUGAUUUCAUAGAGUGAUAUUGAUGAUUACAUAUAGUGGCUUCCAUCACUUCUCCUGCUAUAACUCGGGUCUGUCUACUCUAAUAUGGAUUGUUGACUUCAUUCCCUUCUAUCUUUCUGAUGUCAUCCAAGGAAACCAUUUCUCAUAGCACAUCCUUGGGGUCUUGAGCUUAACGUCUUUGGUUUCCUAGUCGACUAGCUCCAUUUUGUUUGAUGAUCCAAUUCCAUUUCUAGUGACUGAAGGAGUCUCUCCUUGGUGAGGUUGAAUUGUUGGCAGCCUAUUCUUUGUUCACUCAAGCUCCUCGACCUGCUUAAGCCUCAAUCUCAACUUCAUCAACCACCAUAACUGAAGAAGCUUGAAAGAUUAUGAAAGAGAUGAUGACCCUAGACUUCUUCAUGUAUACCUGGACAGUCUAUUUAGCCUAAAGUACCUGUACUCAACACUUAAACAUGGACUUCUAUAUGACUCUCGGACAUGGCUCUAUAAGAAGACAUUCUUAGAUAUUGACAGGAUCCAAUGCUUGGACUUGAACUAACACCUAAUACAAGAACUCGUGUCCAUGUACCAAGCCAACAUAUCUGAGCUGAAUUUGAACUUUUCAUUACAUCAGCCUCUGUAUUGUUAACUUCUUCCAAUUUGACCACUCUCUAGAUUGAGUGCCUAUGAGAAUGUAUCCGACUCAUCCCUUCCUUGGCAAAGAUCCUCCAUCAUUUCAAAACUACUUCCAAACACCUUGGUGAUCUUCAAGCCACCAAGGAUCGAGACUUUUCAAAGUUGGUGGAGAAUGAGAGGAUUUAUAAUGAAUUAGACAGCUUUUCUUGCCAAAUCUAAGGGGAGAAAGGAUUCUCUAGAUUUGGAAGUAGACCAAAACAACAUUCAAGCCUUGUAGGUGAAAAGUUGUUUAAGACAAGAAAAGAAAUAAGAAUACUAGUUAACAGUUUUCCAUCAACCUUUUGUCAUGGAGGAAUGAAAAUAAGCCCUAGAACCUCAGGAUUGCAUUAGUCUUUUGAUUGAUUCUUUCGCUAUGGUACCAAUUGCCAUGAUUUGUAAAUUUGAACUAUAAAACUCAAGAUAGGACUUCUUUGCCACAAUGGAGCUGAUGAUAAACAAGUUCUUCCCAUUCUCCAGUGCCCAUGACCAAAGUAUUCAUUCAUCAUUUCAAUCACUUGUCCCUUAUUAACCAGAAAUACAUGGCCACUAGGUCUAGCCUGAUAUCAAAUGAUUUCUCUUUCUUUGUUGUUAGAAUGCAGUGCAACAAUAAAGUUGCUCCAUUAUCACCUAGGCGUCAUGGAUUAGAAACACGGAAAUAGUCUUUCUGCAUGCGGGGGUAAGGCGGCGUUCAUUUGACCCUGCCCAAACACUGCAAUGAUGGGAGCUUGAUGCAUUGGGAUGUCUUUUUGUAUUUCUCCAUUAUUGUUAAAAUCUUAUGAUUCAAAAUAUGGAUCUUAUGAUCUGGAUUAAAAGCACUAAACAAUCCGGAUCCCAUCCAUGUAUCGGGAUCAAUUUAGGAUCAUAAGAUUCAAAUCCAUAUGAUGUACUAUACAUUCCUUUGGAUGACAAGAUUCAAUUUUAUUAUGUUAUUUACAUAUUAAAUCACAUGCUGAGCAUAUGAUUUUUAAAAUACUUAUUGAUAACAAGGUUUGCCAAAUUGGUGCUGGCAGGGUACAGUAUGGGUUCGUAUUGUGCCAUUCCAGGGCCUACCAAAGCAAAGAGAGGGAGGAGUUAGAGGGAGGGAGGAGAAGAGGGUUGACUCACUUGGUCUUCAUCGGUUAGGUUUUCGAGAAUGGAGCUUCUUCGGGAGGAGACUUCCUUCGAAAUCUUAAGAUAGAGUGUCAUGAGGGACCAAGGGAGAGAAGGGGGUAGAGGGAGACACUAGAAGCCCUAGUAUGGGGAUCGAGGGGGAGAGGGAGUGUCGACUCACAUGGGCUUUGUUGAUUAGGGCUUCGGGCAUGUAGCUUCAUUUGGAUGGAGCUUUCCUUCUUCCAAAUCCUGGGACAAAGCAUCGUGAUCGAUUGAAGAGGCUUAAAAAAGAAAAAUGGUCAAACUAGCUAGUUCGGCAACCCCCGAUUGAUAAUAAAUCUCAAAUAGUACAACUAGCAAGUUUAUGGUUGGAGUUUGUAGAGCCAAAAUAACAUGCAGAAUUUUUAUAUUUUUAGAGCCAUACCCAUGUUUAUUCUAAAGCAUUCUACAUAAGAGGAUAAUUAAAUUGAUUGAUAGUAUAAAAACUACUUAAAUAAUUAUAG